rnacentral:rRNA from 1 species
AUUGAACGCUGGCGGCAUGCCUUACACAUGCAAGUCGAACGGUAACGGGCCUUCGGGUGCCGACGAGUGGCGAACGGGUGAGUAAUGCGUCGGAACGUGCCGAGUAGUGGGGGAUAACGCAGCGAAAGUUGUGCUAAUACCGCAUACGUACUGAGGUAGAAAGUGGGGGACCUUCGGGCCUCACGCUAUUCGAGCGGCCGACGUCUGAUUAGAUAGUAGGUGAGGUAAAGGCUAACCUAGGCGACGAUCAGUAGCGGGUCUGAGAGGAUGAUCCGCCACACUGGGACUGAGACACGGCCCAGACUCCUACGGGAGGCAGCAGUGGGGAAUUUUGGACAAUGGGCGAAAGCCUGAUCCAGCCAUGCCGCGUGUCUGAAGAAGGCCUUCGGGUUGUAAAGGACUUUUGUCAGGGAGGAAAUCCCUAGUGCUAAUAACACUGGGGGAUGACAGUACCUGAAGAAUAAGCACCGGCUAACUACGUGCCAGCAGCCGCGGUAAAAC